GGUGCACAUUGUUAGAGCCUGGAGUUUGAGGCCACUGGCUAUCUGAUGAACUCACAAGUGUGGGGACUGUGCUACUUGAUAUGAAAGGUUUUCACUAACACCACAAGGGUCUCUGACCCAAUGAGUGGAGUAUGAUGCGCGUGCGCACACAC
rnacentral:snoRNA from 1 species